rnacentral:rRNA from 1 species
UGGGGAAUAUUGCACAAUGGGCGCAAGCCUGAUGCAGCCAUGCCGCGUGUAUGAAGAAGGCCUUCGGGUUGUAAAGUACUUUCAGUCGGGAGGAAGGUGUCAAGGUUAAUAACCUUGGCAAUUGACGUUACCGACAGAAGAAGCACCGGCUAACUCCGUGCCAGCAGCCGCGGUAAUACGGAGGGUGCAAGCGUUAAUCGGCAUUACUGGGCGUAAAGCGCACGCAGGCGGUUGAUUGAGUCAGAUGUGAAAUCCCCGGGCUUAACCCGGGAAUUGCAUCUGAUACUGGUCAGCUAGAGUCUUGUAGAGGGGGGUAGAAUUCCAUGUGUAGCGGUGAAAUGCGUAGAGAUGUGGAGGAAUACCGGUGGCGAAGGCGGCCCCCUGGACAAAGACUGACGCUCAGGUGCGAAAGCGUGGGGAGCAAACA